rnacentral:lncRNA from 1 species
UGAAUAUUUUUAUAAACAGGUAAAUAUAGUUAUCAUGUGUAAAAUAUCCAAGUUCCUAGAAUUAAGAUUUCUGUUAACUGGGACACAGAAAUUAAAAUAUUUUUCUAUAUCACCUAUAGUUCAUAUGUUACUAUCAGUAUUUUUUAUUGAAAUUUUAAAAGUAUUUAGAAUGAUAGAUUGUAAAGGUAAGUGUUGGUAUAUUAAAUUAGAACUCAGGUCCAAUUUUUUUAAGUUAAAAUAUUUGUAAAUUUCUGAUUGUAUUUUUCAGAAAAAUUUAAUUCUUCACAUGCUCCAUGUUAUACUGUGCUACUGGAUACUGGUCUUAAGGAAAUGAAGUAUUUACUCUUACUUUUCAUUUGCCUAUAGUUGUAAAAGUUAUUUAUGUUUACAGAAAGAUCUGAUUCUGGAAUUUGCUAUGACUGUCUUACCAGGCUUAAAAUGAUUACAGAUGUUAAAUGGUGUGUUUCGGCUUUUAGUUUAUUGCUAUUAUAGACAACUUAAUGGUGUCAUAUAGAUCAUAGUAAAUAAAUUUCUGCCCACAUCUGCAGCAUAAGAAUUCUUGAUGGAUAAAUUUAAAAGCAUUCCUAGUAAUAUGACAUAUUGAGGGGAGAACAGUGGAACUGGUUUCAAGCAAUACACGCUGCCAAAGCCUGGCUAGUGAAAAAGGGCAUACUGAGGAAUUAACAACACAAAUAGUAGAGAGAAGAGGGAAACCAGAAGGUUUAACCAGGCCAGUGUAUUUAUGGUUUGAACUUUCGUUUCCACUGAGAAUGUAUCAUAUUACUUGUAUUCUAAAACAUUAUUUUAAAAAUAAAGAUUGAAACUUUUUUUUAUUGUUGCU